rnacentral:rRNA from 1 species
GUCGAACGCUUCUUUUUCCACCGGAGCUUGCUCCACCGGAAAAAGAGGAGUGGCGAACGGGUGAGUAACACGUGGGUAACCUGCCCAUCAGAAGGGGAUAACACUUGGAAACAGGUGCUAAUACCGUAUAACAAUCAAAACCGCAUGGUUUUGAUUUGAAAGGCGCUUUCGGGUGUCGCUGAUGGAUGGACCCGCGGUGCAUUAGCUAGUUGGUGAGGUAACGGCUCACCAAGGCCACGAUGCAUAGCCGACCUGAGAGGGUGAUCGGCCACAUUGGGACUGAGACACGGCCCAAACUCCUACGGGAGGCAGCAGUAGGGAAUCUUCGGCAAUGGACGAAAGUCUGACCGAGCAACGCCGCGUGAGUGAAGAAGGUUUUCGGAUCGUAAAACUCUGUUGUUAGAGAAGAACAAGGAUGAGAGUAACUGUUCAUCCCUUGACGGUAUCUAACCAGAAAGCCACGGCUAACUACGUGCCAGCAGCCGCGGUAAUACGUAGGUGGCAAGCGUUGUCCGGAUUUAUUGGGCGUAAAGCGAGCGCAGGCGGUUUCUUAAGUCUGAUGUGAAAGCCCCCGGCUCAACCGGGGAGGGUCAUUGGAAACUGGGAGACUUGAGUGCAGAAGAGGAGAGUGGAAUUCCAUGUGUAGCGGUGAAAUGCGUAGAUAUAUGGAGGAACACCAGUGGCGAAGGCGGCUCUCUGGUCUGUAACUGACGCUGAGGCUCGAAAGCGUGGGGAGCAAACAGGAUUAGAUACCCUGGUAGUCCACGCCGUAAACGAUGAGUGCUAAGUGUUGGAGGGUUUCCGCCCUUCAGUGCUGCAGCUAACGCAUUAAGCACUCCGCCUGGGGAGUACGACCGCAAGGUUGGAACUCAAAGGAAUUGACGGGGGCCCGCACAAGCG